rnacentral:rRNA from 1 species
CGCUAGCGGCAGGCUUAAUACAUGCGAGUCGUGGGGCAUCUCCGGCUUCGGCUGGAGGCGACCGGCGUACGGGUGCGUAACACGUAUGCAAUUUACCCUUAACUGGGGGAUAGCCCCGAGAAAUCGGGAUUAAUACCCCAUAAAAUCAUGAGAGGGCAUCCUUUUAUGAUUAAAGCUCCGGCGGUUAUGGAGAAGCAUGCGGCCCAUUAGCUAGUUGGCAGGGUAACGGCCUACCAAGGCUACGAUGGGUAGCUGGUCUGAGAGGAUGAUCAGCCACACGGGCACUGAGACACGGGCCCGACUCCUACGGGAGGCAGCAGUAGGGAAUAUUGGGCAAUGGACGCAAGUCUGACCCAGCCAUGCCGCGUGCAGGAUGAAGGUCCUAUGGAUUGUAAACUGCUUUUCUCAGGGAAGAAAUCUUUCCGCUUGCGGAGAGUUGACGGUACCUGAGGAAUAAGCACCGGCUAACUCCGUGCCAGCAGCCGCGGUAAUACGGAGGGUGCAAGCGUUAUCCGGAUUCACUGGGUUUAAAGGGUGCGUAGGUGGGAUAAUAAGUCAGUGGUGAAAGCCCCCCGCUUUAACGGGGGAACUGCCAUUGAAACUGCUAUCCUUGAGUACAGUUGAGGCGGGCGGAAUGGGUCAUGUAGCGGUGAAAUGCAUAGAUAUGACACAGAACACCAUUGCGAAGGCAGCUCGCUAAACUGUUUACUGACAUUGAGGCACGAAGCGUGGGGAGCGAACAGGAUUAGAUACCCUGGUAGUCACGCGUUAAACGAUGAUCACUCGACAUCUGUGAUAUACUGUACGUGUCCAAGCGACAGCGUUAAUUGAUCCACGUGGGGAGUACGUUCGCAAGAAUGAAACUCAAAGGAAUUGACGGGGGUCCGCACCAGCGGUGGGGCAUGUGGUUUAAUUCGAUGAUACGCGAGGAACCUUACCUGGACUAGAAUGUUUCAUGACAGCUCCGGAAACGGAGUUUUCCACCUUCGGGUGGACAUGAUACAAGGUGUUGCAUGGUAGUCGUCAGCUCGUGCCGUGGGGUGUUGGGUUAAGUCCCGCAACGAGCGCAACCCCUAUUGUUAGUUGCCAACAGGUCAAGCUGGGAACUUUAAGAAAACGUCUUGCGCAAGCAGAGAGGAAGGAGGGGAUGAUGUCAAAUCAUCAUGGCCUUUAUGUCCAGGGCUACACACGUGGUACAAUGGGUAGUACAAAGGGUUGCUACUGUGUGAAGAGAUGCUAAUCCCAAAAAACUACCCCCAGUUCGGAUUGGAGUCUGCAACUCGACUCCAUGAAGUUGGAAUCGCUAGUAAUCGCGCAUCAGCAAUGGCGCGGUGAAUACGUUCCCGGACCUUGUACACACCGCCCGUCAAGCCAUGGAAGCUGGGUGUACCUAAAGACGAUGACCGAAAGUAGUCGUUCAGGGUAAAAUCAGUGACUGGGGU